rnacentral:rRNA from 1 species
AUCAACUUUCGAUGGUAGGAUAGAGGCCUACCAUGGUGGUAACGGGUAACGGGGUGUUAGGGCACGACACCGGAGAGGGAGCCUGAGAAACGGCUACCACAUCCAAGGAUGGCAGCAGGCGCGCAAAUUACCCAAUCCCGACACGGGGAGGUAGUGACAAUAAAUAACAAUACGGGGUUCUUUCGGAUCUCGUAAUUGGAAUGAGUACAAUUUAAAUCUCUUAACGAGGAACAAUUGGAGGGCAAGUCUGGUGCCAGCAGCCGCGGUAAUUCCAGCUCCAAUAGCGUAUAUUAAAGUUGUUGCAGUUAAAAAGCUCGUAGUUGAAUUUCGGGGUUAGUAGGUUGGUCAUGCCUCAGGUAUGCACUGGUCUCACUGAUUCCUCCUUCCUGAUGAGCCGUAAUGCCAUUAAUUUGGUGUUGCGGGGAAUCUGGACUGUUACUUUGAAAAAAUUAGAGUGUUUAAAGCAGGCUAACGCUUGAAUACAUUAGCAUGGAAUAAUGGAAUAGGACGUUCGAUCCUAUUUUGUUGGUUUCUAGGAUUGACGUAAUGAUUAAUAGGGAUAGUUGGGGGCAUUAGUAUUCAAUUGUCAGAGGUGAAAUUCUUGGAUUUAUUGAAGACUAACUACUGCGAAAGCAUUUGCCAAGGAUGUUUUCAUUAAUCAAGAACGAAAGUUAGGGGAUCGAAGACGAUCAGAUACCGUCGUAGUCUUAACCAUAAACUAUGCCGACUAGGGAUCGGAUGAUGUUAAUUUUUUAAUGACUCAUUCGGCGCCUUACGGGAAACCAAAGUGUUUGGGUUC